AUAUACAAAUAAUCGACUCCAACAUUUCUUAGUGCCAUCAGUUCCAGGCCUUAAAAUAUCGGUCGGUCACGGACAUUGUCCGACCCAUUCGUCAAAUUGUCCGACGUAGAGAGGAAACCACCGGACAUUCAGUCCGACCUAAAUGAAACUGAGAUUUAUUGUUUGUCCGACCCAAGUGAAUUGGUGUCGGACCGAACUGUAACUUUGUCCGACGCUUUCUCCACGCACGUAAAUCAAAAUGUACCCUAGUCCAGGACUAGAGGCUCGUAUGUUAUAAUGGAGAAUUAGAGUAUUGUACAAAAAUGAACCGGAAAUGUUUUCAUUUAGUUCAGAAUUAAUACAUUGUGCAUUAUUUGUGCUGAUAUUAAUUUGCGUCAUUCAGACUUAUUUCCGAGCCAAACUGAACUGAAGGUCAUUGGACAUUAUCAUACACAUGUCCGACCCAAACUCAAUGUCAUCGGACAUUUUGUCAGACGGCCCUGUAAAAGAUAUUUUAAGGCCUGAGUUCAAUCAUGUUUCAUGUCAAGACAUCUC